rnacentral:pre_miRNA from 9 species
UUUCGAUAACGUAAAAGUUAACUUAAAUGUGUAUGGAGUUGAAAAGUUUGCCUACGUUUGCCGUUAGGGGCGCUGUUCCAACUGCAUACAAAAUGAGUUGACUUUUACGUUAUCGA